rnacentral:tRNA from 1 species
GCCCUUGUGGCGAAAUGGUAGACGCACUUGCUUAAGGAGCAAGCGCCUUAAGGCAUGUCAGUUCGAGUCUGACUAAGGGCA